rnacentral:lncRNA from 1 species
CUCCUGCAUGUGACGGACACAGCACUGAUCCUGGCAGCUCCUUACCCCCAGCAGCCCGAAACUCACUCCUUAAUUACACAAGGGAAACCUUUUACCUCCGCAGCCAGAGUCUGGGGGGAAAGGCAGGCGUGGGAAGAUGGGUUCUCUACCUGGCCAGUGCCAUGUUGCCUGUUUCUUUACUGUAACUGUGGUGACAAAGAAAAGGGAAGAUGGAGCCUCCAUGUUGAACAUACCUGGCCCCCAGCACUAACUCCCUCUCUGGAUAUCUGGAACAAGGAGGACCUUAAACUUAACAAUAAAGCCAAUGAUGGUUCUACCAGUCUCCCCAAAGCCUCAAGUUUAAAAGCCAUAUGAACUGGCUGAUAGUGGAAAAUGGAAGCCAUGAGGAAAUCAGAUUAGAGUACUACCUGGUGAAGCCUGGAGGACCUACCAAGAAAAGCAAACUUGGAUCUUUGCAAGGUUAGAAGAACGAAUGGGAUCCAAGAAAAAGACUGGUCAUAUUCAACGGCUAAGAGCGUUGGAGAAGGCCUGUGGAGUCUCAGCAGGUCAGGUCCAUGACUCAUGAGUAGACACCUGUGUUUCUACUGCCUGGUGCCAUAAUCAUAAACAAGAGUAAUCAGCAAAUGCCUUUCCUUUCUCCUGCUGAUGUUUUGCCCGUACUCAGACCCCUUGACUUCUUAGCUUCUACCCAAAGUGAGCUUGUCAUCAAAGUUCUCCAAAAAUCUGCAGUGUUCUCUUGAGCAAAUCUGCUUCCAAGACUAUAGCGCUCUGAUGCAUUGAGAUGACAGCAAGCGGCAUUUUUCAGUCCUGUUACCCAUAUGGCUGCUACCACUGCAUCCUGUUAAAUAAUGUCUUCAACCCAAGAAACCUGCUUCCUAGGGAAGUUUCUCUCUCUCUGCAUUUGUUCCCACUAGAGAAUGACCAUCACCAGAUUCCUGAACUGAAAAUGCUGUUGACACUUUGGAAACUCGGGCCUCUAUUAAUAGGGUGACCAACUAUCCUGGUUUACCUUGAGUACAGGAUUUUCAAUGCUAAAACCAGAAAAACCAGGAUGGUUGGUCAUCUGCCUCAGACCUAAUAAAUACCAGUCAAUAAUUCAGCCAUGA